GACGAACGCUGGCGGCGUGCCUAAUACAUGCAAGUCGAACGAAGCUGUUUUAACUGGUGCUUGCACCGACUUAAACAACUGAGUGGCGAACGGGUGAGUAACACGUGGGUAACCUGCCCCAAAGCGGGGGAUAACAUUUGGAAACAGAUGCUAAUACCGCAUAACCACAGAAACCACAUGGUUUCUGUGUAAAAGAUGGCUCCGUCUAUCACUUUGGGAUAGACCCGCGGAGUAUUAGCUAGUUGGUAAGGUAAUGGCUUACCAAGGCAAUGAUACGUAGCCGAACUGAGAGGUUGAUCGGCCACAUUGGGACUGAGACACGGCCCAAACUCCUACGGGAGGCAGCAAUAGGGAAUCUUCCACAAUGGACGAAAGUCUGAUGGAGCAACGCCGCGUGAGUGAAGAAGGUUUUCGGAUCGUAAAACUCUGUUGUCAGAGAAGAACGUGUGCGAGAGUAACUGCUCGUGCAGUGACGGUAUCUGGCCAGAAAGCCACGGCUAACUACGUGCCAGCCGCCGCAGUAA
rnacentral:rRNA from 1 species